UACAGAGGUCUCGAGCGUUGUUCGGAUUCAUUGGGCGUAAAGGGUGCGUAGGUGGCGCUGUAAGUCGGGUGUGAAAUCCUGAGGCUUAACCUCGGAACUGCAUUCGAUACUGCGGUGCUUGAGGACUGGAGAGGAGACUGGAAUUCAUGGUGUAGCAGUGAAAUGCGUAGAGAUCAUGAGGAAGACCAGUGGCGAAGGCGGGUCUCUGGACAGUUCCUAACACUGAGGCACGAAGGCCAGGGGAGCAAACGGG
rnacentral:rRNA from 1 species